CUGGGUACAACAAUUUUUGGUGAUCAUCUAUCAUGCACUGCAACUUUGCUGCUUCCUUCUCAGUUUCGCAAUCUCUAUGUGCAUCUCGUAGCACUUGACCAAGGUUAUCAGUAGGGCCAUCUUUUGCAAACUCAUCUUCAUCAGCCUCGUCCAUUGUAGUAUCUGCAAAAGCUUGGCCUCCAACCCAAUCUGGAAUGUUGUCAUCCUCCUCCUCCUCUUUGCCGUCUUCCAUUACAACCCCUCUUUCACCGUGCUUGGUCCAAACCAAAUAGUUAGGCAUGAGACCGUAUCUAAACAAGUGGCUGUGAAUAGUCCCCCAGAAAUCCUUUGAAUAGUCCUUCUUGUUACUGCAUUGGAAGGAUGGACAACAUACGAACCCGUUCUCUGGCUUAUUUGCUUUGGCCACUUCGAGAAAAUAAUGCAAGCCAUCAAUAAACAC
rnacentral:lncRNA from 1 species